CUACGGGCGGCAGCAGCUAAGAAUCUUCCGCAAUGGGCGAAAGCCUGACGGGGCGACGCCGCGUGGGUGAAGAAGGCCGAGAGGUUGUAAAGCCCUUUUCUGUCUGAGGAAUAAGCCUGGGAGGGAAUGCCCGGGUGAUGACGGUAAGACAGGAAUAAGCCCCGGCUAAUUACGUGCCAGCAGCCGCGGUAACACGUAUGGGGCGAGCGUUGUUCGGAAUCAUUGGGCGUAAAGGGCGCGUAGGCGGAGAUGCAAGUCUGGUGUGAAAUACCGCAGCUUAACUGCGGGACCGCGCUGGAAACUGCAUAUCUUGAGUUCCGGAGGGGGAGUUGGAAUUCCUGGUGUAGGGGUGAAAUCUGCUGAUAUCAGGAAGAACACCGGUGGCGAAGGCGAACUCCUGGACGGAAACUGACGCUGAGGCGCGAAAGCGUGGGGAGCGAACAGGAUUAGAUACCCGUGUAGUC
rnacentral:rRNA from 1 species